rnacentral:rRNA from 1 species
UGGCUCAGAGUGAACGCUAGCGGCGUGGUUAAGACAUGCAAGUCGAACGAUGAAGCCCAGCUUGCUGGGCGGAUUAGUGGCAUACGGGUGCGUAACACGUGAGCAACCUGCCUUGAAGUGGGGAAUAGCCCGGGGAAACCCGGAUUAAUACCGCAUGUGGUCUCUUUUCGCAUGAAAAGACGACUAAAGUUUGUAAUGACUCUUCAAGAGGGGCUCGCGGCCUAUCAGCUUGUUGGUGAGGUAAAGGCUCACCAAGGCAAAGACGGGUAGCUGGUCUGAGAGGAUGAUCAGCCACACUGGAACUGAGAUACGGUCCAGACACCUACGGGUGGCAGCAGUUUCGAAUCAUUCACAAUGGGGGAAACCCUGAUGGUGCAACGCCGCGUGGAGGAUGACGGCCUUCGGGUUGUAAACUCCUGUCACCAAGGAACAAACGGCAGGUUCAUAGCCUGUCCUGAGUUAACUUGGAGAGGAAGAGGUGGCUAACUCCGUGCCAGCAGCCGCGGUAAUACGGAGACCUCGAGCGUUACUCGGAUUCACUGGGCGUAAAGAGUAUGUAGGCGGUUUGGUAUGUCAGGUGUGAAAGCCCGAAGCUCAACUUCGGAAUUGCGCCUGAAACUACCGGACUUGAGGCCUGGAGAGGGGAGUGGAAUUCCUGGUGUAGCGGUGAAAUGCGUAGAUAUCAGGAGGAACACCAAUGGCGAAGGCAGCUCCCUGGACAGGUUCUGACGCUGAGAUACGAAAGCGUGGGUAGCGAAAGGGAUUAGAUACCCCUGUAGUCCACGCCGUAAACGUUGUACACUAGGUUUCGGAGGGCCUACCCCUUCGGAGCUCAAGCUAACGCGAUAAGUGUACC